GUGUCAGCCGCCGCGGUAAGACGAACCGUGCGAACGUUGUUCGGAAUCACUGGGCUUAAAGGGCGCGUAGGCGGUUUCCCAAGUCCGGGGUGAAAUCUUUCGGCUCAACCGGAAAAGUGCCUUUGAUACUGAUGAGCUAGAGGGAGAUAGGGGUAUGCGGAACUUCCGGUGGAGCGGUGAAAUGCGUUGAUAUCGGAAGGAACGCCGGUGGCGAAAGCGGCGUACUGGAUCUCUUCUGACGCUGAGGCGCGAAAGCUAGGGGAGCAAACGGGAUUAGAUACCCCGGUAGUCC
rnacentral:rRNA from 1 species